rnacentral:tRNA from 1 species
AUUAAAGUGGCAGAAUAAAUUGCGAGGAAUUUAAGCUUCCUUAAUGAUUAAUUCCUUUAAUA